UACGUAGGGUCCGAGCGUUGUCCGGAAUUACUGGGCGUAAAGAGCUCGUAGGUGGUUUGUCGCGUUGUUCGUGAAAACUCACAGCUCAACUGUGGGCGUGCGGGCGAUACGGGCAGACUGGAGUACUGCAGGGGAGACUGGAAUUCCUGGUGUAGCGGUGGAAUGCGCAGAUAUCAGGAGGAACACCGGUGGCGAAGGCGGGUCUCUGGGCAGUAACUGAC
rnacentral:rRNA from 1 species